rnacentral:rRNA from 1 species
GAUGAACGCUGGCGGCGUGCCUAAUACAUGCAAGGCGAGCGAACAGACGAGGAGUUUGCUGCGCUGACGUUAGCGGCGGACGGCUGAGUAACACGUGGAGAACCUACCUAUAAUACUGGGAUAACUGCGGGAAACCGUAGGUAAUACAGGAUAAUAUAUUGAACCGCAUGGGUCAAUAGUGAAAUACGGUCUUGCGGUCACUUAUAGAUGGAUCCGCGCCGCAUUAGCUAGUUGGUAAGGUAACGGCUUACCAAGGCAACGAUGCGUAGCCGACCUGAGAGGGUGAUCGGCCACACUGGAACUGCGACACGGUCCAGACUCCGAGGAGCGGCAGCUGUCUGGACGACGCCGCACUGAGCGAGAGCCUGACCCAGGCUCACCCCGUGAGUAAUGAAGGAGUUCGAGCUGUAAACCUCUGUUAUAACGGAAGAACCACUGUGUAGUUAGCUGUGGACGUCUUGCCGUUACAUAGACAGACUGCCACGCCUGACUUCGGG